ensembl:lncRNA LINC02328 long intergenic non-protein coding RNA 2328
GGGUAUUAUUGGGUAUUCGCAAAGGAAUAUAAAUCAUUCUACCAUAAAGACACAUGCACAUGUAUGUUCAUCAUAGCACUAUUUCACAAUAGCAAAAACAUGGAAUCAACCUAAAUGUCCUGCUUCUUUUUAUAAGGAAACUAAUCCAAUAAUGAAGGAUCCAUUUUCAUAACCUAAUAACCUCCCUAAAACCCUAUCUAAAAAUACCAUCACAUUGGAGAUUACGGUUUCAACAUAUGGAUUUUGAGGGGAACCCAAACAUUUAGUCCACAGCAAUAGUAUCAGAAGACAUAGAUCACUGAUUUUAAGAUGGGCACAUACCAAUUAAAAAUAUUUGAACUCUGGGAGCCCAUACCCUAAUACAGAAUCCACAUCUUAGGACAGCACACCUGACAUCAGAAAGAUCACACUAUGCCCUAGGACUAUACAGUCUUCCUUUAUCUAUAUGCAUGCUGUAUGUCAGAAAAGAGUUUUCAUUUGUGGAUUUAAUUGCUCGUGAAUCAACUCGAUGAAUGUCAGAAAUAGGCUUUUACUGUAAAAAGUAUUCAAGAUAUGGAGACUAAAAAUAUGUAUCAAAGAGUUUUCUCACACUUCCAUGAAAACCUCAUUAUAAACAUCUAUGAAGUCUUGCUCUUUUAUCCACGGGGAUACUGCUUGAGGAUAAAUCCCCGGAGCUUCUAGCUGUGAACUGCGGGAUUCUGGUUGCUGAUGCCAGCCACGCGGAGUAGUCCCUACAUUUGGAAUCCCAGCUUGAAUAAACUCUCUGUGAAAGACUUGGAGGGCCUUGAGUCUGCAAGGUGCUUUUUUUUCUGAAGCUUUGGUAGUGUAACUGUAAGAGUCCUGGAAUUGGAAAAGCAAAUCCAGAAGUUGAGUUCCAUGACUUUUUUGCUGUUUGCCUUUGGGUAAGUCUACGAUAUCCAGUUUCUGCAUCUCUCAAUUUUGUUAUAAAGACUAAAUAAGGUAGUAUACAUGUACACAUGUACAGCUAGACUGUAAAUCACUAUUCAAGUAUGUGUUGUUUUC